rnacentral:rRNA from 1 species
UGCGCAGGCGGAAUAUUAAGUCAGUGGUGAAAUCCUACAGCUCAACUGUAGAACUGCCAUUGAUACUGAUAUUCUUGAGUAUAGUUGUAGUGGGCGGAAUAUGUCAUGUAGCGGUGAAAUGCUUAGAUAUGACAUAGGACACCGAUCGCGAAGGCAGCUCACUAAACUAUAACUGACGCUCAGGCACGAAAGCGUGGGGAGCAAACAGGAUUAGAUACCCUGGUAGUCC